UACGUAGGGACCAAGCGUUGUUCGGAUUUACUGGGCGUAAAGGGCGCGUAGGCGGCAUGACAAGUCACUUGUGAAAUCUCCGGGCUUAACUCGGAACGGUCAGGUGAUACUGUCGCGCUAGAGUGCGGAAGGGGCAAUCAGAAUUCUUGGUGUAGCGGUGAAAUGCGUAGAGAUCAUGAGGAAGACCAGUGGCGAAGGCGGGUCUCUGGACAGUUCCUGACACUGGAGG
rnacentral:rRNA from 1 species